GAGACAUUACACCGGUUUUAAGGUCUCUGUACUGGCUGCCUGUGAGUUUUAGAAUACAUUUUAAGAUUGUUUUUUUAAAUCAAUCCACGAUUGUGCACCCCAAUACAUGUCUGACAUGUUUUUAGUUAUGUACCCAGUAGGUCCCUCAGGUCCUCUGGCACUGGCCUUUUAACGAUCCCAAAGCCUAGGACCAAGAGGCAUGGAGGGGCAGCCUUUAGUUACUAUGCCACCAGCCUCUGUAAUAGCCUGCCAGAGAACCUGAAGGGGGUCCAAACUGCCGGCGCCGACAGAGAUGGCCGCCUCGCUUCGCGUUCCUAGGAAAUUAUGCAGGAUUUUGAUUUGACUGUGGACAUUUUUAAAAGAGAUCUUAAAACAUUCAUUUUUAUCUUUGCUUUUCCUUAGGGUGCUUUUUAGUUAUUCAGUUGUUAUUGUUAUUCUUUAGUUUUUUUUAUCCUCUUAUGUUUGAUGAGUAGUAAAUGUUUAAGUUGUUUUUUUUAUCCUCUUAUGUUUGAUGAGUAGUAAAUGUUUAAGUUGUUUUUUUUAUCCUCUUAUGUUUGAUGAGUAGUAAAUGUUUAAGUUUUGUUUUUUUAUCCUCUUAUGUUUGAUGAGUAGUAAAUGUUUAAGUUGUUGUUUUUAUCCUCUUAUGUUUGAUGAGUAGUAAAUGUUUAAUUUGUUGUUUUUAUCCUCUUAUGUUUGAUGAGUAGUAAAUGUUUAAGUUGUUUUUUUUAUCCUCUUAUGUUUGAUGAGUAGUAAAUGUUUAAGUUGUUGUUUUUAUCCUCUUAUGUUUGAUGAGUAGUAAAUGUUUAAGUUGUUGUUUUUAUCCUCUUAUGUUUGAUGAGUAGUAAAUGUUUAAGUUGUUGUUUUUAUCCUCUUAUGUUUGAUGAGUAGUAAAUGUUUAAGUUGUUGUUUUUAUCCUCUUAUGUUUGAUGAGUAGUAAAUGUUUAAGUUGUUGUUUUUAUCCUCUUAUGUUUGAUGAGUAGUAAAUGUUUAAUUUGUUGUUUUUAUCCUCUUAUGUUUGAUGAGUAGUAAAUGUUUAAUUUGUUGUUUUUAUCCUCUUAUGUUUGAUGAGUAGUAAAUGUUUAAGUUGUUGUUUUUAUCCUCUUAUGUUUGAUGAGUAGUAAAUGUUUAAUUUGUUGUUUUUAUCCUCUUAUGUUUGAUGAGUAGUAAAUGUUUAAUUUGUUGCUUUUAUCCUCUUAUGUUUGAUGAGUAGUAAAUGUUUAAGUUGUUGUUUUUAUCCUCUUAUGUUUGAUGAGUAGUAAAUGUUUCAUUUGUUGUUUUUAUCCUCUUAUGUUUGAUGAGUAGUAAAUGUUUAAGUUGUUGUUUUUAUCCUCUUAUGUUUGAUGAGUAGUAAAUGUUUAAGUUGUUGUUUUUAUCCUCUUAUGUUUGAUGAGUAGUAAAUGUUUCAUUUGUUUUUUUCCUGUGAAGCACAUUGUGUUACAUUCCAUAUCUGAAAUGUGCUGUAUAAAUAAAGCCUGAUUUGUUCUGAUUUG
ensembl:lncRNA